rnacentral:rRNA from 1 species
CGUGUCGUGAGAUGUUGGGUUAAGUCCCGCAACGAGCGCAACCCUUGGUUCUAGUUGCCAGCAUUCAGUUGGGCACUCUAGAGCGACUGCCGGCGACAAGUCGGAGGAAGGUGGGGAUGACGUCAAAUCAUCAUGCCCCUUAUGACCUGGGCUACACACGUGCUACAAUGGAUGGUACAAAGGGCAGCGAAGCGGCGACGCAUAAGCGAAUCCCAGAAAACCAUUCUCAGUUCGGAUUGCAGGCUGCAACUCGCCUGCAUGAAGCCGGAAUCGCUAGUAAUCGCGGAUCAGCAUGCCGCGGUGAAUACGUUCCCGGGCCUUGUACACACCGCCCGUCACACCACGAGAGUUUGUAACACCCGAAGUCGGUGAGGUAACCGCAAGGAGCCAGCCGCCGAAGGUGGGACAGAUGAUUGGGGU